rnacentral:rRNA from 1 species
AUUGAACGCUGGCGGAAUGCUUUACACAUGCAAGUCGAACGGUAGAGGGGGCAACCCCUCGAGAGUGGCGAACGGGUGAGUAAUAUAUCGGAACGUGCCCAGUCGUGGGGGAUAACGUAGCGAAAGUUACGCUAAUACCGCAUACGAUCUAAGGAUGAAAGCGGGGGAUCGCAAGACCUCGCGCGAUUGGAGCGGCCGAUAUCAGAGUAGGUAGUUGGUGGGGUAAAGGCACACCAAGCCAAAGAUCUGUAGCUGGUCUGAGAGGACGACCAGACACACUGGAGCUGAGACACGGUCCAUACUCCUACGGGAGGCAGCAGUGGGGAAUUUUGGACAAUGGACGCAAGUCUGAUCCAGCCAUUCCGCGUGCAGGAUGAAGGCCCUCGGGUUGUAAACUGCUUUUGUACGGAACGAAAAGGUCUCUCUUAAUACGGGGGACUCAUGACGGUACCGUAAGAAUAAGCACCGGCUAACUACGUGCCAGCCGCCGCAGUAA